AAGUCGAACGCAGUAGCAAUACUGAGUGGCAAACGGGUGAGUAUAAUGUGGGAAUCUGCCUUUUGGUUUGGAAUAACACGGGGAAACUUGUGCUAAUACCGAAUAAGCCCUUACGGGGAAAGUUUUAACGCCGAAAGAUGAGCCCGCACUUGAUUAGCUAGUUGGUAAGGUAAAAGCUUACCAAGGCAACGAUCAAUAGCUGUUCUUAGAGGAAGACCAGCCACAUUGGGACUGAGACACGGCCCAGACUCCUACGGGAGGCAGCAGUGGGGAAUCUUGCACAAUGGGGGAAACCCUGAUGCAGCGAUGCCGCGUGAGUGAAGAAGGCCUUUGGGUUGUAAAACUCUUUCGUCGGGGAAGAAAAUGACUGUACCCGAAUAAGAAGGUCCGGCUAACUUCGUGCCAGCAGCCGCGGUAAUACGAAGGGACCUAGCGUAGUUCGGAAUUACUGGGCUUAAAGAGCUCGUAGGUGGUUAAAAAAGUUGAUGGUGAAAUCCCAAGGCUCAACCUUGGAACUGCCAUCAAAACUUUUUAGCUAGAGUGUGAUAGAGGUAAGUGGAAUUUCUAGUGUAGAGGUGAAAUUCGUAGAUAUUAGAAAGAACACCAAAUGCGAAGGCAACUUACUGGGUCACUACUGACACUGAGGAGCGAAAGCAUGGGUAGCGAAGAGGAUUAGAUACCCUCGUAGUCCAUGCCGUACACGAUGUGUGCUAGACGUUGGAAAUAUAUUUUUCAGUGUCGCAGCGAAAGCAUUAAGCACACCGCCUGGGGAGUACGACCGCAAGGUUAAAACUCAAAUGAAUUGACGGGGACCCGCACAAGCA
rnacentral:rRNA from 1 species